rnacentral:rRNA from 1 species
AUACGUAGAUGGCAAGCGUUAUCCGGAAUGACUGGGCGUAAAGGGUGCGUAGGCGGUUGUUUAAGUCAGAUGUGAAAAUCUCGGGCUCAACCUGGGGACUGCAUUUGAAACUGGACGAAUUGAGUGCCGGGGAGGAAAGGGGAAGUCCUAGUGUAGCGGUGAAAUGCGUAGAUAUUAGGAUGAACACGAGUGGCGAAGGCGACUUUCUGGACUGUAACUGACGCUGAGGCACGAAAGCGUGGGGAGCGAACAGGAUUAGAUACCCUGGUAGUCCACGCUGUAAACGAUGAAUGCUAGGUGUGGGGGGUCUGACCCCUUCCGUGCCGGAGUUAACACAAUAAGUAAUCCACCUGGGAAGUACGACCGCAAGGUUGA